ensembl:processed_transcript
UUUCGACUUGGUUCAGAGGAGCACGCGGAUUGCACCCCUGUUCCAGUAUGGCUGCUAUCAUCCCCAUUUUGAUCGUCACUGUAGUGUCAAAUGUUUCUGGAAUGCUCGCUAUACCAUUGUGGGGACAUGACAAACUCUGUUGCACAACUCUGGCAGCUGAGGACGAUUUGAGCUUGUGGGAGUGACAAACUGUGCGACCCUGAUAUAGCCACCUGAUGGCUGUGAGCUCCCUUCAGGAAAGAUGCAGAAUGAAUCUUUCCAGUAGAGGAGUCUGAACGUAGUGUUUACACACACCGUAAAGAGAUUGAGGUAAAUAUUUCUUUUUUUUUGUUGCACUUUACAUAAGAAGCGAGACUAGAGUCACAUCCUGACGUUGCUCGUUGUCUUGGUGUGCUAUAGUACUCGCAGAAUAACCUCUCUGCUUAUUCAUUGGCUGCUGCUUUCCAUUGCCCAGCCAAUCACCAGCUCUGAAACAUGCUAGAUUUAUGUAACCCUUCAUGUACAAACCUUUUCAGAUUUGAUGCAGUUGGUUGAACCGCCAUAAAGUUUUGAGUUAAAGUUUUGUUUUUAUUCAUAUUUGACUUUUUUGCAUGUUUAGACCUGUCACAUGAUUCUUCAGAAAUUUUAAUUUUCUGCAAUAAAAAAACUGACUAUUUUAAUACUUUUUUUUUUUUUUUUUGCAAUCAAAAUGGUUGAGGUCAUUAUAAAAUAAUCAAAUUUUAAGGUCUAGUAGUGUCUGCACUCCAUUCAAAAACAACCUCAAAUAUAUUGUCAGACAUUCUGUGAA